GAGUUUGAUCCUGGCUCAGGACGAACGCUGGCGGCGCGCCUAACACAUGCAAGUCGAACGAGAGAUGAGGAGCUUGCUCUUCAAAUCGAGUGGCGAACGGGUGAGUAACGCGUGAGGAACCUGCCUCAAAGAGGGGGACAACAGUUGGAAACGACUGCUAAUACCGCAUAAGCCCACAGCUCGGCAUCGAGCAGAGGGAAAAGGAGUGAUCCGCUUUGAGAUGGCCUCGCGUCCGAUUAGCUGGUUGGUGAGGUAACGGCCCACCAAGGCGACGAUCGGUAGCCGGACUGAGAGGUUGAACGGCCACAUUGGGACUGAGACACGGCCCAGACUCCUACGGGAGGCAGCAGUGGGGAAUAUUGCACAAUGGGGGAAACCCUGAUGCAGCGACGCCGCGUGGAGGAAGAAGGUCUUCGGAUUGUAAACUCCUGUUGUUGAGGAGGAUAAUGACGGUACUCAACAAGGAAGUGACGGCUAACUACGUGCCAGCAGCCGCGGUAAAACGUAGGUCACAAGCGUUGUCCGGAAUUACUGGGUGUAAAGGGAGCGCAGGCGGGAGGACAAGUUGGAAGUGAAAUCCAUGGGCUCAACCCAUGAACUGCUUUCAAAACUGUUUUUCUUGAGUAGUGCAGAGGUAGGCGGAAUUCCCGGUGUAGCGGUGGAAUGCGUAGAUAUCGGGAGGAACACCAGUGGCGAAGGCGGCCCUACUGGGCACCAACUGACGCUGAGGCUCGAAAGUGUGGGUAGCAAACAGGAUUAGAUACCCUGGUAGUCCACACCGUAAACGAUGAUUACUAGGUGUUGGAGGAUUGACCCCUUCAGUGCCGCAGUUAACACAAUAAGUAAUCCACCUGGGGAGUACGACCGCAAGGUUGAAACUCAAAGGAAUUGACGGGGGCCCGCACAAGCAGUGGAGUAUGUGGUUUAAUUCGACGCAACGCGAAGAACCUUACCAAGUCUUGACAUCCCUUGACGAACAUAGAAAUAUGUUUUCUCUUCGGAGCAAGGAGACAGGUGGUGCAUGGUUGUCGUCAGCUCGUGUCGUGAGAUGUUGGGUUAAGUCCCGCAACGAGCGCAACCCUUAUGGUCAGUUACUACGCAAGAGGACUCUGGCCAGACUGCCGUUGACAAAACGGAGGAAGGUGGGGAUGACGUCAAAUCAUCAUGCCCUUUAUGACUUGGGCUACACACGUACUACAAUGGCGUUAAACAAAGAGAAGCAAGACCGCGAGGUGGAGCAGAACUCAGAAACAACGUCCCAGUUCGGACUGCAGGCUGCAACUCGCCUGCACGAAGUCGGAAUUGCUAGUAAUCGUGGAUCAGCAUGCCACGGUGAAUACGUUCCCGGGCCUUGACACACCGCCCGUC
rnacentral:rRNA from 1 species